rnacentral:miRNA from 1 species
GCCCUGACCUGUCCUGUUCUG